CAGCCAACAGUCGCCUCUAAAAGAGCUCUUGUGGCGACUUCUUCGCUACUAAACGUAGAGUUUUUGUGGCAACCUUUUAUGUCGCCUCUAAUUCGUUUAUUUUGACAUCGAUUUCCGUUUUGUGAAAAACGCAAAAUGGUUCACCCCCACCAGUUCAGACUCAAAAUUUCCUCUCCCGUUCCUCCUAAAUCCCAUUUUCCCCGAUUCCCUCUUGCCCCUUCCAUAUUUCAUAUUCCUAAAAAAAUAGAUUAAUGCUUCUCUCUCAACUCGUGUUCCCCAACAUUAAAGAAACCCAAUUUCCUCUCGGCCGAGAAAAAAAUACAUCUCAUUUCUAAAAAGAGGAGUAGAUUUGAAGGAGGUAGGAGAGGUCUAUUUCCCAAAAGCUAAAAUUUGAGUAACAUUGAGUCAAUUUCAAUUUAUGUGCUAUCGAAGCAACGAAAUAAACAUAUUUCGACAAUUCCAUAUCUUGUGACUUCCUAUUUCUGGGGUUUCGUUGGUUCUCACAGCUAUUGUUGCACGGGAGGUUUUUCUGCUUAUAAAACAGGUGAUCGACCGCGACCAGUACCAUUUUUCUUCAGUUUGAGAAAAUUUCUUUGGGGCUCUCAAGGGUAUCUAUUUGUACGACAAACGAGAUAGCGUUAGUCAAGAAUGGAGUUCCCUAGCAGACCACACAAUAACUAAAAAGCAGCAUGCAGUACAACAGAACAUUAAUGAAGUUGAAGAGAAGAAGGUGUGUGUUACUAGUGGCAUAUCUUUCCUAGAAGUCUUGGAAAAGUUAAGAGACAUGGAAAUAUCUGGGAAAAUGAGAGAGUCCAACAACAACAUAGAAGCAGUAAUGGCAAGUCUAACUCUUCAUCUGGUAGUAACUAAUUUGUCCAAUAUUUAAGCAAAAAGAUAAUAACGUGCCUUCUCAUGGAACAUUAUAAAAGGAACCGCUCUUGGGAGUGGCUAAUAUUAUUUCCUUCUGAUUUUUUUGCUCCCUCCUUUGGCUGCAAUCUAGGACAUGGGAGCUUCUUGCUGCAUUUUGAGGCCAUAUAUUUUUCCGGAGGAAAUGAUGCUAGCAAAGGAGCUCGAAUAGACUUUAUUUUUGCUUUUUUUCGACGUUUCAUGUGUGCACAAAUUCUAUGUUAUGAAUUUUUAAUAAAAAUCCUUGAUCAUUUUGUUUGACAAAUGCUUUGAAUGGUGCCUCUUCUAAUAUAUUUGUGU